GGCUCAGGAUGAACGCUGGCGGUGUGUCUAAGGCAUGCAAGUCGAACGAGUUGAACUUUUGUAGCAAUACUUGAGUUCGACUAGUGGCAAACGGGUGAGUAACACAUUGGUAACCUGCCUUCAAGACGGGCACAACAUUGCGAAAGCGAUGCUAAUUCCCGAUGGUCUCUUCGGUGCGAUUCCGAAAGAGUAAACGUCCAAAAGACGCUUGAAGAGGGGCCUAUGGCCUAUCAGCUUGUUGGUGAGGUAACGGCUCACCAAGGUGACGACGGGUAGCAGGCGUGAGAGCGCGACCUGCCUCAGUGGGACUGCGAUACUGCCCACACUCCUACGGGAGGCUGCAGUCGAGAAUAUUCCACAAUGGGGGAAACCCUGAUGGAGCGACACCGCGUGGGGGAUGAAGGCCUUCGGGUCGUAAACCCCUUUUGCUUGGGACGAAGCGCAAGCUGACGGUACCAAGCGAAUAAGAGGUUGCUAACUCUGUGCCAGCAGCAGCGGUAAUACAGAGACCUCAAGCGUUAUCCGGAUUCACUGGGCGUAAAGCGUCCGCAGGUGGUUCAUUAAGUCGUUUGUCAAAUCCCGGUGCUCAACAUCGGAACUGCGAACGAUACUGAUGAACUUGAGGAUGGAAGAGGUAAGAGGAACUGCUGGUGUAGUAGUAAAAUGCGUUAAUAUCAGCAGGAACACCAAAGGCGAAGGCAUCUUACUGGGACAUUCCUGACACUCAUGGACGAAAGCGUGGGGAGCAAAACGGAUUAGAUACCCGUGUAGUCCACGCCCUAAACGAUGAGCGCUAGAUUUGGGAAGUAUCGACCCUUUCCGAGUCGUUUUACAAGCUAACGCGUUAAGCGCUCCGCCUGGGGAGUACGGCCGCAAGGCUAAAACUC
rnacentral:rRNA from 1 species